rnacentral:rRNA from 1 species
GAUGAACGCUGGCGGCGUGCCUAAUACAUGCAAGUCGAGCGAACAGACGAGGAGCUUGCUCCUCUGACGUUAGCGGCGGACGGGUGAGCAACACGUGGAUAACCUACCUAUAAGACUGGGAUAACUUCGGGAAACCGGAGCUAAUACCGGAUAAUAUAUUGAACCGCAUGGUUCAAUAGUGAAAGACGGUUUUGCUGUCACUUAUAGAUGGAUCCGCGCCGCAUUAGCUAGUUGGUAAGGUAACGGCUUACCAAGGCAACGAUGCGUAGCCGACCUGAGAGGGUGAUCGGCCACACUGGAACUGAGACACGGUCCAGACUCCUACGGGAGGCAGCAGUAGGGAAUCUUCCGCAAUGGGCGAAAGCUUGACGGAGCAACGCCGCGUGAGUGAUGAAGGUCUUCGGAUCGUAAAACUCUGUUAUUAGGGAAGAACAAAUGUGUAAGUAACUAUGCACGUCUUGACGGUACCUAAUCAGAAAACCACGGCUAACUACGU